GUUUCUGAAAGAAGCAAUAUCCUGAAAUGAGCUUUCCAAGGAGAAAAAUAUUUUCUUAGAUCAGAAAUAAUCUUUUUCAUUGAUCUAUCCAUAAUCACUAAUUAUUGAUUUAGACAAAAAUAUGUAUAUCGAUUAUCGAAUAAUGUUCUCCAAAAUUUCUUUAUAAAUAGUAAAAUAACUUGAAUCCGUUUGAGACCGCAUUACUAGAUUCUACAUUAGUAUUCUAUCUUCGGUGGAUCGUCAAUGUAACGAGAAGAAGAAGAUUCACAAUUUUAUGGCAAACCAAAAAUACUACUAUGAUAUAUGAAGCCCAACAAGCGAGAGUACCGUAAUCAGUAUCCGCACUGGGAGUAUAAUCCAGUAAACUAACGAGGCCAUUAUCCCGAACUCUUGAAUUUGGGAGCGGUAGGACGUCGCCUCGCGUUCCGUUGAAGCUCCAAGAAAAUCGAAUCAACUCGUCUGGAACUGCCUCGAUUUCGCAUCUCAGGGUCACCGUUUCAUGUCGAACAGCUGCUAUUUCUCGCCUCUCAUAACCCUCUCUACAUCUUGGAGCAUCUGCACGUCAUCGAAUACGAUAUCAUUCCGAGGAAAAAACGAGAAAGAAGCGUACUUACGUCGUGAUACCAAAUGACCUUCGUCGGUGGAGGAUUGCUCUGAACGUCGCAGACCAAUUUCAGAUCAUCUCCUUCUCUCAAUGUAUUUAGAAUAUAUCCUGUUGCUAGAUGAGCCGUGAGGACCGGUGCGUCUGUCAAUUGAUAUUAUUAAAGAAACUUAAAUGUCUAGCAAAACAUCGAGUUUCGAAAUAAUUUAAAAAACUCACAAAGAACGCGAAGAGAUUUUGUUUCUUCGAGCACUCCACCAGGAAAUCUGGGAUUUUCGGCUUUGCAAGCAAGUUCCUUGCCAUCGUCAUUUUUUCCGAGAGCAAGAACGAUCUUACUGACCGUGGAAUUACUUCUCUGCGUAAUAGAAACUAUAGGAUCACCGAUCACUUCAUCGCCUAAUCUCCAAAUGAUUCUGGCAGCUGGAGAACUACCCCAAGUUUCGCAUUUCGCAGCGAUCGGACGACCGGCGUACAUCUCUUCGUCGCUCAAGCUGAUUUUUACCACGGCCGGUUUGACUGAAGUAACAAACGAAGAAAUCGAUGAGUGUGCAAAACGACGAGAAGAGUUCCGUUCCGAAUGCCCUUUAGAGCGUGCUUAAAAUCAAGGGAAUGACCUUGAGGGUGUCAGAACUCGGUCUUUCUAAUUUUAAGCCGAGGAGGAGGCUGCGUUAGAGGUUAGAAGCGGAAUUUACAAUACGUUCAACUCCAACGACGUCUUCUUGAAUAUAUUCGAGUUAUCGAAACUUGUAUAAGUCGGUACAGAUCAUAAAAACUUGGAAAUUAUUUCAUGGAAACCAUCCAAAUUGAUAGAACGUUCGAGUGUAAACAGUAUUUGCCAUGAGCUCGGUGAAUCUUGGUGACUAACUCGCAAACGGUAUCUAUUCGCGGACGAAAAAAGGAUAGUUGGCAGGCUGAAUGCUUGCAGAUUUAGAUUUGCCGCUUAGGACAACCGUGUUACGUAAUUUAAGUGAAGGAAAUCGUUAUGGUAAGAUGACGAGUUUCUCAAAAGAAAAUAAAAAAGAAAAAGAAAAAUGAAUCGAAGCAAUCGAGAUAAAACAAAUAUGGAAGUAAUCGUCGUCAUUCAAACUUCAUACAAUUUCGAUCUCUAUUAUUUCAUUCUAUCAUCUAUCAUUGCUGAUAUAAUAAUAAUUGUUCCAGGUCUCAUUAAAUUUUUACUCAUAUUCCUACACUUUAUUGAUCUUUCUUGUUCAAUAAAAAAUCUCGGUGAAAUGAUUGAGUAAUUUUUUUAUGAUGAACUCAAUUUUUAAAACUCGUUUUAAUAGUAAUGGAACUGUUG